UACGUAGGGGGCUAGCGUUGUCCGGAAUCAUUGGGCGUAAAGAGCGUGUAGGCGGACCUGCAAGUUCGGGGGGUGAAAGCCCCAGGGCUUCAACCUUGGAAUUGCCUUUGAUACUGACUGUCUUGAGUUCGGGAGAGGUGAGUGGAAUGCCGAGUGUAGAGGUGAAAUUCGUAGAUAUUCGGCGGAACACCAGUGGCGAAGGCGACUCACUGGCCCGAUACUGACGCUGAGGCGCGAA
rnacentral:rRNA from 1 species